AUUUUUAUGUCAGAAUAAAUUGAAAUGAAUUUAAAAUUCAUAUAUAUAUAUAUAUAUAUAUAUAAAUU
rnacentral:tRNA from 1 species